rnacentral:rRNA from 1 species
CCUACGGGGGGCUGCAGUAGGGAAUCUUCCACAAUGGGCGAAAGCCUGAUGGAGCAACGCCGCGUGUGUGAUGAAGGCUUUAGGGUCGUAAAGCACUGUUGUAUGGGAAGAAAUGCUAGGAUAGGGAAUGAUUCUAGUUCGACGGUACCAUACCAGAAAGGGACGGCUAAAUACGUGCCAGCAGCCGCGGUAAUACGUAUGUCCCGAGCGUUAUCCGGAUUUAUUGGGCGUAAAGCGAGCGCAGACGGUUGAUUAAGUCUGAUGUGAAAGCCCGGAGCUCAACUCCGGAAUGGCAUUGGAAACUGGUUAACUUGAGUGUUGUAGAGGUAAGUGGAACUCCAUGUGUAGCGGUGGAAUGCGUAGAUAUAUGGAAGAACACCAGUGGCGAAGGCGGCUUACUGGACAACAACU